rnacentral:rRNA from 1 species
UACGUAGGGGGCAAGCGUUGUCCGGAUUCAUUGGGCGUAAAGAGCGUGUAGGCGGCCAGGUAGGUCGGUUGUGAAAACUGGAGGCUCAACCUUCAGAGGUCGACCGAAACCAUCUGGCUAGAGUCCGGGAGAGGAGAGUGGAAUUCCUGGUGUAGCGGUGAAAUGCGCAGAUAUCAGGAAGAACACCCGUGGCGAAAGCGGCUCUCUGGGCAGGUCCUGACGCUGAGGAGCGAAAGUGUGGGGAGCGAACAGG